rnacentral:rRNA from 1 species
AGUGAACGCUGGCGGUAGGCCUAACACAUGCAAGUCGAACGGCAGCACAGUAAGAGCUUGCUCUUACGGGUGGCGAGUGGCGGACGGGUGAGGAAUACAUCGGAAUCUACUUUUUCGUGGGGGAUAACGUAGGGAAACUUACGCUAAUACCGCAUACGACCUACGGGUGAAAGCAGGGGAUCUUCGGACCUUGCGCGAUUGAAUGAGCCGAUGUCGGAUUAGCUAGUUGGCGGGGUAAAGGCCCACCAAGGCGACGAUCCGUAGCUGGUCUGAGAGGAUGAACAGCCACACUGGAACUGAGACACGGUCCAGACUCCUACGGGAGGCAGCAGUGGGGAAUAUUGGACAAUGGGCGCAAGCCUGAUCCAGCCAUACCGCGUGGGUGAAGAAGGACUUCGGGUUGUAAAGCCCUUUUGUUGGGAAAGAAAAGCAGCAGGUUAAUACCCCGCUGUUCUGACGGUACCCAAAGAAUAAGCACCGGCUAACUUCGUG